GCCGCCGUAGCAUCAACGGCAGAGCGCCCGCUUUGUAAGUGGGAGGAUAGGGGUUCGAAUCCCUUCGGCGGCU
rnacentral:tRNA from 1 species